CGGUAGCUAAUACCGCAUAACGUCGCAAGACCAAAGAGGGGGACCUUCGGGCCUCUUGCCAUCAGAUGUGCCCAGAUGGGAUUAGCUAGUAGGUGGGGUAACGGCUCACCUAGGCGACGAUCCCUAGCUGGUCUGAGAGGAUGACCAGCCACACUGGAACUGAGACACGGUCCAGACUCCUACGGGAGGCAGCAUG
rnacentral:rRNA from 1 species